rnacentral:rRNA from 1 species
AGUGAACGCUGGCGGUAGGCCUAACACAUGCAAGUCGAACGGCAGCACAGUAAGAGCUUGCUCUUACGGGUGGCGAGUGGCGGACGGGUGAGGAAUACAUCGGAAUCUACUUUUUCGAGGGGGAUAACGUAGGGAAACUUACGCUAAUACCGCAUACGACCUACGGGUGAAAGCAGGGGAUCUUCGGACCUUGCGCGAUUGUAUGAGCCGAUGUCGGAUUAGCUAGUUGGCGGGGUAAAGGCCCACCAAGGCGACGAUCCGUAGCUGGUCUGAGAGGAUGAUCAGCCACACUGGAACUGAGACACGGUCCAGACUCCUACGGGAGGCAGCAGUGGGGAAUAUUGGACAAUGGGCGCAAGCCUGAUCCAGCCAUACCGCGUGGGUGAAGAAGGCCUUCGGGUUGUAAAGCCCUUUUGUUGGGAAAGAAAAGCAGCAGGUUAAUACCCCGCUGUUCUGACGGUACCCAAAGAAUAAGCACCGGCUAACUUCGUG